rnacentral:rRNA from 1 species
UGGGGAAUAUUGCACAAUGGGCGAAAGCCUGAUGCAGCAACGCCGCGUGAGUGAUGAAGGUCUUCGGAUUGUAAAGCUCUGUCUUUUGGGACGAUAAUGACGGUACCAAAGGAGGAAGCCACGGCUAACUACGUGCCAGCAGCCGCGGUAAUACGUAGGUGGCGAGCGUUGUCCGGAUUUACUGGGCGUAAAGGGUGCGUAGGCGGAUGUUUAAGUGAGAUGUGAAAUACCCGGGCUUAACUUGGGUGCUGCAUUUCAAACUGGAUAUCUAGAGUGCAGGAGAGGAGAAUGGAAUUCCUAGUGUAGCGGUGAAAUGCGUAGAGAUUAGGAAGAACACCAGUGGCGAAGGCGAUUCUCUGGACUGUAACUGACGCUGAGGCACGAAAGCGUGGGUAGCAAACAGGAUUAGAUACCCUGGUAGCCCACGCCGUAAAACGAUGAGUACUAGGUGUAGGAGGUAUCGACCCCUUCUGUGCCGCAGUAAACACAUUAAGUACUCCGCCUGGGAAGUACGAUCGCAAGAUUAAAAC